rnacentral:rRNA from 1 species
UUAAGAAUCUUGCACAAUGGGCGCAAGCCUGAUGCAGCGACGCCGCGUGAAUGAUGAAGGCUUUCGGGUUGUAAAGUUCAGUAAGCAGGGAAGAAUAAGCAAGAGGUAAUAUUUCUUGUGAUGACGGUACCUGCCUAAAGCCCCGGCUAACUACGUGCCAGCAGCCGCGGUAAUACGUAUGGGGCGAGCGUUGUUCGGAAUUCUUGGGCGUAAAGGGCGUCUCGGCGGGGAUUUAAGUUAGGUGUGAAAGCUACGGGCUCAACCCGUAAACUGCAUCUAAAACUGGAUCUCUUGAGUUCGGGAGAGGAGAGCGGAAUUCCAGGUGUAGCGGUGAAAUGCGUAGAUAUCUGGAAGAACACCAGUGGCGAAGGCGGCUCUCUGGCCUAGAACUGACGCUGAAGCGCGAAAGCGUGGGGAGCGAACA